AUGGCGGCAGGCUACCACAUGCUUAUCGAGCGGAAACGAGUUAUCUGAACCUACGGGGAACGAUAACGGCGUCGAGCGGCGGACGGGUGAGUAGUAGCCUAGAGAAAUUGCCUUGAUGUAGGGGGAUAACCAUUGGAAACGAUAGGCUAAUACCGCAUAAUGCCUACGGGCCAAAGAGGGGGACCUUCGGGCCUCUCGCGUCAAGAUAUGCCUAGGUGGGAUUAGCUAGUUGGUGAGGUAAUGGCUCACCAAGGCGACGAUCCCUAGCUGGUCUGAGAGGAUGAUCAGCCACACUGGAACUGAGACACGGUCCAGACUCCUACGGGAGGCAGCAGUGGGGAAUAUUGCACAACGGGCGCAAGCCUGAUGCAGCCAUGCCGAGUGUAUGAACAAGGCCUCCGGGAACGUAAAGUACUUCACAGCCCAUAGAGGCACGGGGGUGUCAUUCACUCAGCGGCCAUCGUCUAUGAACGCUUAGC
rnacentral:rRNA from 1 species